rnacentral:lncRNA from 1 species
CUGGCCCUUUUCCUCCACCAGACAUUGCUGGCCCUUUUCCUCCUCCCCGCCCCCUCCUCCUGAGCCUCCGGCCCCCUGCGUGUACACACACACCCGCAGGCCCGGCAGAAGUGAUGCUCAACGGGGCCUCCACACAUCCCCAUAGCGCGCUUGGGCGCACCAGGGUGGAGGAAAUAUUGGGGCGACGCGGCUCGGAGUUCACCCUAAAAUGGGCGCCUGGGCAGCCCCUAGAAAGAAACUCAAGCAGGGCGCCGCUCACCCGCCACCCUCUGCAGCUCCCACCGCAGCCAAGAUAAAAAGUUAGCGGGUGAGAGCGGGAGGAGCAGGAAGAAAGUAUAUUUUUUUCUAAAAAAAGGAAGGAAACCCCCCUCCCCCUUCUCCAUAGGGAGGAGGGAAGCGCCCCUACUUCGCAGCUCCGGGCUCUGAGCUCCAGAUCGCAGCCCCUAUCCCGGAGCGAAGCUAAGGCAACUGCAUCUCCUUUCACCGACAAGACUCCGGCUCAGACGGGUGGGCGGCGAGUAGGGCUCCAGUCACAGACUGGCGCUAGCAAAAUGGAGGAGGAGGAGAGGCAGUGAUGUGUGGUAGAGGAGGAAGAGGAGGAGGAGGGCCAGCGAUGUCUGGAGGAGGAGGAGGAGGGCCAGCGAUGUCUGGUAGAGGAGGAGGAGGAAGGCCAGCGAUGUCUGGUAGAGGAGGAGGAGGAGGAG